rnacentral:rRNA from 1 species
CAGUCGCCGCGGUAAUACGUAGGGUGCAAGCGUUAAUCGGAAUUACUGGGCGUAAAGCGUGCGCAGGCGGUUAUAUAAGACAGAUGUGAAAUCCCCGGGCUCAACCUGGGAACUGCAUUUGUGACUGUAUAGCUAGAGUACGGCAGAGGGGGAUGGAAUUCCGCGUGUAGCAGUGAAAUGCGUAGAUAUGCGGAGGAACACCGAUGGCGAAGGCAAUCCCCUGGGCCUGUACUGACGCUCAUGCACGAAAGCGUGGGGAGCAAACAGGAUUAGAUACCCCUGUAGUCCCUGUCUCUUUAUA